rnacentral:rRNA from 1 species
GGAAUAUUGGGCAAUGGGCGAAAGCCUGACCCAGCGACGCCGCGUGAGGGAUGAAGGCCUUCGGGUUGUAAACCUCUUUCAGUAGGGAAGAAGCGAAAGUGACGGUACCUAAAGAAGAAGCACCGGCUAACUAUGUGCCAGCAGCCGCGGUAAUACAUAGGGUGCAAGCGUUGUCCGGAAUUAUUGGGCGUAAAGAGCUCGUAGGUCGUUUGACACGUCGAUUGUGAAAAUCUGAGGCUCAACCUCAGACCUGCAGUCGAUACGGUCAAACUAGAGUGUGGUAGGGGAGACUGGAAUUCCUGGUGUAGCGGUGGAAUGCGCAGAUAUCAGGAGGAACACCAAUAGCGAAGGCAGGUCUCUGGGCCAUAACUGACACUGAGGAGCGAAAGCGCGGGGAGCGAACAGGAUUAGAUACCCUGGUAGUCCGCGCCGUAAACGGUGGGCACUAGCUGUGGGUCCCUUCCACGGGAUCCGCGACGCAGCAAACGCAUUAAGUGCCCCGCCUGGGGAGUACGAUCGCAAGAUUAAAACUCAAAGGAAUUGACGG